ensembl:misc_RNA Metazoa_SRP Metazoan signal recognition particle RNA
GCUGGGCGUGGUGGCUCACACCUGUAAUCCUAGCACUUUGGGAGGCCAAGGCAGGUGAAUCACCUGAGGUCAGGAGUUCAAGUCCAGCCUGACCAAUAUGGUGAAACCCUGUCUUUA